rnacentral:rRNA from 1 species
CAGGAUGAACGCUAGCGGCAGGCCUAAUACAUAGCAAGUCGAACGGGAUUGAAGAGCUUGCUUUUCAUGAGAGUGGCGCACGGGUGCGUAACACGUAUGUAACCUACCUUAAUCUGGGGGAUAGCCUCUCGAAAGAGAGAUUAACACCGCAUAACAUUAUCGGACAGCAUUUUCUGAUAAUCAAAUAUUUAUAGGAUUAAGAUGGGCAUGCGGAACAUUAGCUAGUUGGUAAGGUAAUGGCUUACCAAGGCUACGAUGUUUAGGGGAUCUGAGAGGAUGACCCCCCACACUGGUACUGAGACACGGACCAGACUCCUACGGGAGGCAGCAGUAAGGAAUAUUGGUCAAUGGGCGCAAGCCUGAACCAGCCAUGCCGCGUGCAGGAAGACGGCCCUACGGGUUGUAAACUGCUUUUGUACCGGAAUAAACCUUUUCACGUGUGAGAAGCUGAAUGUACGGUAAGAAUAAGGAUCGGCUAACUCCGUGCCAGCAGCCGCGGUAAUACGGAGGAUCCAAGCGUUAUCCGGAUUUAUUGGGUUUAAAGGGUGCGUAGGCGGUUCUUUAAGUCAGGGGUGAAAGACGGUAGCUUAACUAUCGCAGUGCCUUUGAUACUGAAGAACUUGAAUACACUUGAGUAGGCGGAAUGUGACAAGUAGCGGGUGAAAUGCAUAGAUAUGUCACAGAACA